CCCUUAGAUGUUCUGGGCCGCACGCGUGCUACACUGAUGCAUUCAACGAGUCUAAAACCUGGUCUGAUAGGGCUGGGUAAUCUUUUGAAAGUGCAUCGUGAUUGGGAUAGAUGGUUGCAAUUCUUCAUCUUCAACGAGGAAUGCCUAGUAAACGCAAGUCAUCAGCUUGCAUUGAUUACGUCCCUGCCCUUUGUACACACCGCCCGUCGCUCCUACCGAUUGAAUGAUCCGAUGAAUACCAUGGAUUGAGAGUACGAAUAGGUUCGCUUAUUUCUGCUGCUCGAGAAGUGGAGUAAAUCUUAUCAUUUAGAGGAAGGAGAAGUCGUAACA
rnacentral:rRNA from 1 species